rnacentral:rRNA from 1 species
GGGCCCGCACAAGCGGUGGAGCAUGCGGGUUAAUAGGAUGAUACGCCAAGAACCUUACCAGGGCUUGAAAUCAUAGGGCCAGCCUGUGAAAGCAGGUCUCUUGGGUAACCCCCAAGUCCUAUGACAGGUGGUGCAUGGUUGUCGUCAGCUCGUGCCGUGAGGUGUUGGGUUAAGUCCCGCAACGAGCGCAACCCUCGCCAGAUGUUGCCAUCGGGUCUUCGGAUGCCGGGCACUCUUCUGGGACUGCCUGAGUAAUCAGGAGGAAGGAGAGGACGACGUCAAAUCUGCAUGCCCCUUACGCCCUGGGCUGCACGCGUGCUACAAUGGCGGGUACAAAGGGUUGCCAAGCCGCGAGGUGGAGCCAAUCCCCUAAAACCCGUCCCAGUUCGGAUCGGAUGUCUGCAACUCGACUCCGUGAAGGUGGAAUCGCUAGUAACCGUGGAUCAGCAACGCCGCGGUGAAUACGUUCCCGGGCCUU